UCUAGGACAGACUGCCGUGGACGAACACGGGAGGAAGGUGGGGAUGACGUCAAAUCAUCAUGCCCCUUAUGAUCUGGGCUACACACGUGCUACAAUGGCCGGUACAACGGGCAGCGAAGGAGCGAUCCGGAGCGAAAUCCUAAAAAGCCGGUCCCAGUUCGGAUUGCAGGCUGAAACUCGCCUACAUGAAGUUGGAGUUGCUAGUAAUCGUGAAUCAGAAUGUCACGGUGAAUACGUUCCCGGGCCUU
rnacentral:rRNA from 1 species